UUCAUUUAAUUUCUGUAUUUUGAUACGGCAAGCCGUGCACUGCAGUGGGCGCAGUUCUGUUGCCUCAGUUUUCACUUAAUUGUCAAGUAUUGUCGCAAAAGUUGCAGCAUUAAAGAUCUACUGAUUUCAAAACUUCUUUUGUGUUUUAUAAAUUGUUAAACUGAGCUUCAUUUUGAGUUACAAUGGUUGCUAAGACCGAAUUCCCAUUAGUUCCUAAAAUCAUCAACGGUGGUAUUGCUGGCAUAAUUGGAGUGACAUGUGUUUUCCCCAUCGAUUUAGUGAAAACUAGGCUGCAGAACCAACAGGUUGGACCACAAGGACAAAAAAUGUACUCUUCAAUGCUAGAUUGUUUCAGAAAGACAUACACUCGAGAAGGAUUUUUAGGAAUGUAUAGAGGAUCAGCGGUGAACAUUUUAUUGAUCACUCCAGAAAAAGCUAUCAAACUUGCAGCAAAUGACUUCUUUCGGCAUCAUCUAUCCUCUGGCAGUGGGAAACUGAGUCUUCAGCGAGAAAUGAUUGCUGGUGGGUCUGCUGGGUUUUGCCAAAUCAUAGUUACAACACCUAUGGAGCUUUUAAAAAUUCAGUUACAGGAUGCUGGAAGAGUAGCUACAAAAAGUGCAGCUGAUGGCACAGUGGCAGCUCAAUCAGCAACUUCAAUUGCUCUGCAACUCUUUAGGACAAGGGGAAUUGCAGGGUUGUAUAAAGGAACAGGAGCUACAAUGUUACGUGAUGUUAAUUUUUCAGUUGUAUACUUUCCAUUAUUUGCACGCUUAAAUGCAUUGGGGCCUAGAAAAAAAGACGGUAGCGGUGAAGCUGUGUUUUGGACGUCAUUCCUUGCAGGCUGUGUAGCUGGUUCUACAGCAGCAUUUGUUGUCAAUCCAUUUGAUGUAAUAAAAACGAGAUUGCAGCUAUUGAGAAAAGGCAGCGGUGAAAUGAGCUACUCAGGGAUCACAGAUGCAGUUACGAAAAUCUUCAAAACAGAAGGAGUGUUUGCCUUUUUUAAAGGAGCUGGCUGCAGGAUGAUUGUUAUUGCACCUCUUUUUGGAAUUGCACAAACAGUAUACUUUCUAGGAGUAGCUGAAUGGUUAUUAGGUACCAAAAGAAGCUAAUAUUACUGAUUCCUACCUAUCUUUUAUACUUAUCCCUUGCAUGCAGUGAUGACUCGGAGAAAUGAGGGAUUAGUCAGGAAGCCAAAUCUCUGGAAUUAUCACCUAUAUCAAGCGUUUACUGUGAUGCACCAAGUAUGAACUUCCAAGAAAAUCAAUAGAAAUAAAUGUCAGGGGAACACAUUUCAGUAGUAAAGUAAUAAUUUAGGACAUGGAUAAGAAAGAUUUAAUGCUGGUUGCUUCAAAAUACUUUUGAAACAAUGGUUGAUAUCAAAUUAUCUUGCUUUUUCCAUAAUAUUUAAAAAAUAAUAGAAUAAUUUUGGAUAUUAGUAGUUUAUUUUUAUUUUAUCUUGCAUGUACAUUUUGUAUAUCUUCAAACUGUUUUUACUUUGUUUUUUAUGAUUUAUAAAUGAUUAAAAUAUUAGUGUCUAGUCUUUGUUUAGAAACUAAACCAAUGUUACUAGUUUUGCAGUAAGAAACAAUAAAGUUUCACUGUGAUUAAUUUUAUUUUAAUAUAUGUAAAGAGAUAUUUGUUUUUGCAUUUAUGUGACUUUUUUAAUGUAUUUAUUUAAGAAUAUUUAAAAUGUUAAAAGAUAUACUAUUUACAGUUACAUAUGUUUGUGUGACAUCUGCUCUGUGUACAUUUUUAUAAAUGUGAUUAUUUUUAUCAAGUAUUUUAUUUCAUGAAUGUUAAAAUUUUAGUGUGAUACAUAUUUACCAAAAUUUUGAUUCAUUGCAUGAUGGAAAGAAACUGAAAACUUAUUGCGCUAGCCACAAAAAUUUCAUUUUGAAUGAUAUUUUCAUACUCAAAACCUUUAUCCCCAGCUCAUUGCUUAAAUUAUUUUUAACAUUUGCAGCAAUUUUUCUGUCUGCAUUUUAGUAUUCUUACUAUAAACAACCAAUUUUUUUUCUUACUCUUUGAGAUGAAUGAGCUUGAUUUUUAUUGGUUUUCAAAACACAAUCUAACAGUCCAAAACUGGAAACUCUUACGUAAUAGUUCAUCUCAUUGACGCCACAUCCAAUGGUGCAUAAACUUAACUGUGUUAAAGUCGAUGGAUUCUGUAAUCAGUACAUUCCAAUCAUUUAAUAAAACUAAAUGUUGUAGAUUUUAAAUGUUAUAUUUUAUAGAAACGUUAAGGAGUGCUACUUGUGGAUUUUGUUUUGAUAAAAUAUUAGGCUCUUAUAUAAUCAUCUGAGAGUCAUUUUAGCCAUUUCAAUGUGAUACAAGGAGCCGAAGUGUUCUUAUUGUUGUGUAAACCUGUUGGAUAUCACUGUUGUCUGCAUAGUUUAUUAAUAAAUUGGGUUGUACUUGUCAAACUUU